UGCCAGCCGCCGCGGUAAUACGGAGGGGGCUAGCGUUGUUCGGAAUUACUGGGCGUAAAGCGCACGUAGGCGGAUCAGUCAGUCAGAGGUGAAAUCCCGGAGCUCAACUUCGGAACCGCCUUUGAUACUGAUGGUCUUGAGUCCGAGAGAGGUGAGUGGAAUUCCUAGUGUAGAGGUGAAAUUCGUAGAUAUUAGGAAGAACACCAGUGGCGAAGGCGGCUAACUGGCUCGGUACUGACGCUGAGAUGCGAAAGCGUGGGGAGCAAACAGGAUUAGAUA
rnacentral:rRNA from 1 species